rnacentral:misc_RNA from 1 species
UUUUUUAUUUUUUAUUUUUUUUAAAUGAUGGGCAGUUUCCAGUUCUUGCAAAAUGAUACUUUUGACUCCUUAACAAUUGAAUUCUAUCACUUAAAGAGCUUCCAAAUAUGAGAAUCAAGCAAGUAGAAUUGAAUUCUUGCAUUUUAAAGCUUUUUAAAAAUUCUGCCUUUUUCCUUAGAUUUUGCAAACAAAUUUCUAUUGCAUUCAGAUAUGAGAUUUUGUUUUUGUCCCUUCAAGGCCUUUUAGUUGUUGUGUGUCAAAUAGCUUAUAGCUGAUUUGCUUGUUUGACAUAUUGAAAGAAAGGAAAGAUAGCCAGGAAGGUUUGGAGAUAAAAUGAGAGAGGGCCAUUUAAGAUGGUUUGGUCAUGUACAAUGCAGAGAAUCAAAUGCCUUUGCAUCAUAGUUAAUUAUAGUUGCUGUUUCUACUAUAGAGCAUAGUUAUCAAAGGCUCAAGG